ACACACCAAUUGUCCCGUGUGCCGUGCCAUCAUUGUUAUCACAAUACCUGCCCCUGCAGAUUUCAAUCGAGCAGAACGUGUGACUAUUAUCUAAAAGUUUAAAUUCCUGAAGAGCAUACUUUUGUUUACUUUAUGAUUCUAUUAGGAAGAGUAUACUUUAUUUACUUAAUUAUGACAUCAACACGCGUCUUAGCUUGUAUUCAGACUUAAUAAAUUCUUCUCCAUGAGCUAAAUACGCGGUUAUCUUAUAAUGGAGAGCGAUGAGAUUCAAACUCAUGAUCUUUGCUGCUUUUAUAUCAUACUAAUGAAUGUGAGACUAUCUUAUCUUAGAAACUACGUGAUUAGUAUUUCUUAGUUAACUUCUAUAUUGCAGAAUGUAGUGGUGAGACUUGAAGAGGAAACUCAUUCAGGAACUUCAGAAAAAUGUCAUGGAAUUUAGGAUUGACGUUCGAAACAAAAGUUGAGAAAAGGGAACUAAGUACUUCAGCCUUCAGGUAUGAGUUUAAGUUCAAAGGAAGAUGUAUAUGUCGCGAACACUCCUGAAGGUGAGUUGAAAUAAGGUUCAUGGUGGAAGUUCAUAUGCAUAAAAAGCGGAAACAAAAAGCCAAAAUCUUUACAUAUAAGAUAGAGAGCAUAUACUAUAUCACAUUUUAGUCAAAUGUAAUACGAGGAAUACCUCUUGUAGCGUGUGAUAUAUAAUCCCAUGAAGGCAUGAACAUCUUUAUUCUGCAGUCUUCUGUUGUGUCUCAGACAUAAUCCGACUUAAUUAAGACUGUAUGGGCAAGUCAGCUUCUCCGUUAUGUUCUAGACUAAAGCUCCCGCUACCGCUAUGCAGUGGCGGAUCUACAUGGUUACAAGGGGUCAUCCGAACCACCUUCUUGAAAAAUUAUACUAUAUUUUUACAUGGUAAAUUCUUUUUUUUUUUUUUACGUAUAAAUAGUCGAGGCUAAACUCCUUCAACUAAUCUGUAUAUAUACUACUGAAAAUUCUGGAUCCGCC
rnacentral:lncRNA from 1 species